GACGAACGCUGGCGGCGCGCCUAACACAUGCAAGUCGAACGAGCGAGAGAGAGCUUGCUUUCUCGAGCGAGUGGCGAACGGGUGAGCAACGCGUGAGGAACCUGCCUCAAAGAGGGGGACAACAGUUGGAAACGACUGCUAAUACCGCAUAAGCGCACGUCAUCGCAUGAUGGUGUGUGAAAAACUCCGGUGGUAUGAGAUGGACCCGCGUCUGAUUAGGUAGUUGGUGGGGUAACGGCCCACCAAGGCGACGAUCGGUAGGGGUUCUGAGAGGAAGGUCCCCCACAUUGGAACUGAGACACGGUCCAA
rnacentral:rRNA from 1 species